rnacentral:tRNA from 1 species
GUGGGCAUAGCUCAGUGGUAGAGCCCGUGCUUAGUAUGCAUGAGGUCCUAGGUUCGACCCCAGUACCUCCA